rnacentral:sRNA from 1 species
UUUUAGUCCUGAUGGAAGCAGCAUCCUCGUAACGGAGUGAAGAGAUACAGCGGACAGCAGGAACUAUC